rnacentral:sRNA from 1 species
CACACCAGCGCCAUGCUGGUAGUAGAGGGGACGAGCCAAUCCAAACCCCCCCACAAUAUGUAUACUAUGUGUGAUAUAUCGAUAUAUGGAUAUCUUUAUAUUGAUCGACGGAAUAACCCUUCGUGAGAUUCCGACGCACCAGUGCGAAUAAAUCGGCCUUGGUUUGAUUUCCUUCCUCGUAUUUUGUCUCACAACUCGUUAUCGUUUGAAACAUGCCUACGGAGCGACGCCCUGCCUGCGCCCCAGUUGGGGAUUUUAACUGGCUGUUCCUGUUCCUGUUCCUGUUCCUGUACCAGUUCGGCAGAAGGGGAUUGAUUUAUUGGUCAAAGACUGGAGAAAGCCGACAGUUGGCAGCGGCUUCAGGAAGCAAUGACAUGUCAUGAUUCCGUAACUUAAGCAAGAAAUGAAAAGAAAAAGGGA